rnacentral:rRNA from 1 species
CCUACGGGUGGCAGCAGUGAGGAAUAUUGGUCAAUGGGCGCGAGCCUGAACCAGCCAAGUCGCGUGAGGGAAGACGGUCCUAUGGAUUGUAAACCUCUUUUGUCGGGGAGCAAAAGACGCCACGCGUGGCGUUCCGAGAGUACCCGAAGAAAAAGCAUCGGCUAACCCCGUGCCAGCAGCCGCGGUAAUACGGAGGAUGCGAGCGUUAUACGGAUUUAUUGGGUUUAAAGGGUGCGCAGGCGGAAGAUCAAGUCAGCGGUAAAAUUGAGAGGCUCAACCUCUUCGAGCCGUUGAAACUGGUGUUCUUGAGUGAGUGAGAAGUAUGCGGAAUGCGUGGUGUAGCGGUGAAAUGCAUAGAUAUCACGCAGAACUCCGAUUGCGAAGGCAGCAUACCGGCGCUCAACUGACGCUCAUGCACGAAAGUGUGGGUAUCGAACAGGAUUAGAUACCCCUGUAGUC